UUGCUUAUUGGCAUGCCCAGUAAAAUUGUAACAAUACAGAGAAGGUUUGCAUAGCUCCUGCACAAAGAUCUCACACCAACACACAUUUCUUUUUUUUUUUUU